rnacentral:rRNA from 1 species
UACGGGGGGGGCAAGCGUUGUUCGGAAUUACUGGGCGUAAAGGGCUCGUAGGCGGCCAACUAAGUCGGAUGUGAAAUCCCCAGGCUUAACCUGGGAAUUGCAUCCGAUACUGGAUGGCUUGAAUCCGGGAGAGGGAUGCGGAAUUCCAGGUGUAGCGGUGAAAUGCGUAGAUAUCUGGAGGAACACCGGUGGCGAAGGCGGCAUCCUGGACCGGCAUUGACGCUGAGGAGCGAAAGCGUGGGGAGCGAUCCGG